rnacentral:rRNA from 1 species
UACGGAGGAUCCAAGCGUUAUCCGGAUUCAUUGGGUUUAAAGGGUGCGUAGGCGGAACAAUAAGUCAGCGGUGAAAUCCUGCGGCUUAACUGUAGAAUUGCCAUUGAAACUAUUGUUCUUGAGUGCAGUUGAGGUGGGCGGAACGUGUCAAGUAGCGGUGAAAUGCUUAGAUAUGACACAGAACGCCAAUUGCGAAGGCAGCUCACUAAACUGUAACUGACGCUGAGGCACGAAAGCGUGGGGAU